AUUCAAAGUUAUAGUCAUUGAAAAAGUUGAAAAAAGUUUUAAACAUGGGAUAAACUUGUUAAAGAAUAACUUUCUCUUUUUAUGCCCAUAGUCAACAUCUAUUAGAUGAGAAAAUGAGUCAGUACAGUAAUGAUGACUGAAAGUACUCCUCUUCAUCAAGUCAAAGGAAGACACCCUGUGAGACUGGCCUAUCGUUCAGCAGUGCUCUGAGGUUUCCUUCCUAGUUUCAGAAAUGCAAAUGAGAGUGGCACUGAUGUCUCCAGGCUUUGAAGAGCAGAGACUGCCUAUUGUGCUGUGGUGUGUGGCUCAGGGCAGACAGAGAGCGUACAGAGUGACGCAUUCUCAAGAGCAAGUUCCAGUUUAGCACAGAAGAAAACCUGGACUGUUUCUGUGUGUGAAGAUUUUAUGUCAACUUGGUCAUCAGCUGCACCCAGUUUUGCCCUAAAAUUGAUUCGAAACAGCAGCCAGAAAAUAUACCCAUGGAAAGUGUAUUCUGUGCCAACCCAGCCUUCCUACAAAGCAAGCAAUCUCUUUGCUCCUGCAAUUUGCAUGGCCAUACCAUACACAGCCUGCUGUCCAUGCUGGUGCACUUUCCAUUGA
rnacentral:lncRNA from 1 species